GGCAUCCAAGUAAGUUAAAUAAAGGCAAGCCAAAGCCUCUUCUCUCUCCAGCUUCCAAGUCACACAGCGAGACCCAGGAGGCAGGAGCCAAUAAAAUCUUAAAGAUACCCAAGGACCAGGCCCACACAUUCCAAAUGCUUCUUAGGGAUUGACCAACACAAAUCCAGCUGCAACUUCUUCACAUGCACAGAAACCAAAGUAAAAAUCUAAAGAAAAUAAUGAAAGGAAAAGAAAAAACAAGGAUCAGCCACCAGCAGGAAACCUCCCAAGUUCUUCAGUGCCAAAAAACAGCAGAAGCCAAGGAAGUGGCAUUUCACCCACACGGACUUCUCGAUGAUGGACCCCAGCUUGGCCUCCCACGUCUGGGAUAUUUAUGAGGUUCUGGGAAGGCGUUCAGAACUGGAGAUAAACUCUAAACCCUAUGUCUCAGAGAAGUGUGAUGGCCCCUCCUCUGCUGGUUCAGGUGCCCGCCACUUGGGCACCAGAUCCCAUCCAGGGCCGCAGCCCUGGCUCAGGGAGUGCCUACGCUGCCUAGAUCUGAAGGUUCUCCUUAGACUCUGGGGUGCUAGUUGGUUUUGCCAAUGUUGACAUAGGGGGUAAGAGAUAAACCCAGAAGCCAGACUGGGUUUAAAUCCUGAUGGUGGUCUUUACUGGCUGUGUGAACAGGGGUAGGUUUCUUGACCUCCUUCUGCCUCAGGUCCCUCAUCUCAAAAUUGAAAGCAACAGGUAAGACCUACUUCUUGAAAUUAUUGUGAGUAUUAAAUGAGAUGGAACUGAGCAUCUAAUAAGUAUCAAUACAUUAUUUCUUGGCAUUCUAUUUUUUAUAGUGGUAAAAUAUACAUAACAUGGAAUUUUAACCAUUUAACAAAAUGUACAGUUCUGUGGCAUUAAGUAUGCAUACACAGUUGUUACCAUCUGUCCUUCUCCAGAACUUUUCCAGGAACCCCAAAUGAAACUCUGUAUCCACAAACAACAAUCCCUAUUCCCUGUUCCUCUUCACCCCUGGUGACCACAAUUCUGCUUUCUGUUUCUCUAAGUCUGACUGCUCUCAGAAACUCACAAUAAGUGGAGUUAUCAGUAUGUCCUUUUGGGUCUGGCUUAGUUCACAAAGCAUAACGUCCUCAGGCUUGUCCAUGUUCUUUUUUAAGGAUGAGUAACAUUCCAUUGUAUGUAUAGACCACAUUUUGUUUAUCCAUUUGUCUGUCAACAAAUGUGUAGGUCACUUCCACCUUUUGGCUAUUGUAAGUAAUGUUACUGUGAACACUGGUAUACAAAUAUUUGUUUGAGUCCCUGCUUUCAAGGCUUUUGAGCACACUAUUGUCUUACAGUGAAUGUCUGCCCACCCAACCCCUGCUACUUCAUGAUAAGAAUCUGGUCUGAUACCCAAGACAGUGCAGAAGUGGCGCAACAAUCUGAUAUCCUUUCACUCAGAAAUUAACACCCAGCCUUAAUGCCAGCCACAUACUCAAUGCAGAGAAAGGGGAAGGAGAAAGGUUGAUGGGUAGGGCUUUGGACUCAGAAGAAUUCCUUUAGGAUCCUGGUCCAUUAUCUUGAAUCGAUAUGGGCUUUGCCUUUUCAUUUCACCUCUAUGAGCCUCAGUUUUCCUAUAUAUAAAAUGAAUUCUAUGCAUAGAAUAUCUACUUCUUUUUAUGUGUGAAAAGUAACAGAGUAAACUCCCGGCAUAUAGUAGGUCUUCAGUAAAUCCUACUUCCUAAAUCCUCUGCUAGGAUUCAUGUCAAAAGUAAUAGGAGCUGGCCACUAGGUGAUUUAUUUAUGUCAUCAUAAUCAUCAUUAUUGCUAAUUUUUGAAAGCCUACAAUGGACCAGGCACUGAACUAAGUUGGUUUUUUUUUCUUACAUAGAUGAGUUCAAUUUUCUAAAUAUUGCUUUAAAGAGAUAUGUCCUAUUGUUAUCUCUAAUUUACAGUUGUGAUGAACUCAGAAGGAUUCAUUAAUUUGCUCAUGCCGGUAAGUGAGAGAGCCAGGAUUCAAAUGAGGCACAUCGACUCCAGAGCUGACUUUAUCUUCCCACUCUACUGCCCCUACUAACUAACUAAAUGGGAUAAUAAAGAUAAAAAUAAAAUUAAAUAAAUGGAAGAAA